rnacentral:lncRNA from 1 species
AUGCUCCACAUUCCAUUCAGACAGUUGAUACAAACGAUUACACAUGCUCCACAUUCCCAUUCAGACACAGUUGAUGACACAAACGAUUACACACAUGCUCCACAUUCAACGCAGUUGAUGAUACAAAUGAUAUACACAUGCUCCACAUUCCCAUUCAGACAGUUGAUGAUACAAACGAUUACACAUGCUCCACAUUCCCAUUCAGACAGUGUGAUGAUACAAACGAACACAUGCCCACAUCAGACGCAGUUGAUGAUACAAGUAUUACACACAUGCUCCACAUUCCCUUCAGACAGUUGAUGAUACAAAUGAUUACACAUGCUCCACUUCCAUUCAGACAGUUGAUGAUACAAAUGAUUAACAUGCUCCCCAUUCCAUUCAGAGACAGUUGAUGAUACACAAUUACACACUCCACAUCCCAUUCAGACAGUUGAGAACAAAUGAUUACACAUGUCCCACAUUCCCAUUCAGACAGUUGAUGAUACAACAAUUACACAUGCUCCACAUUCCCAUUCAGACGCAGUUGAUGAUACAAAUGAUACACAUGCCCCAUUCCCAUCAGACAGUUGAUGAUACAAACGAUUAACCACUCCACAUUCAGACGCAGUUGAUGAUACAAUGAUUACACAUGCUCCACAUCCAUCAUAGACAGUUGAUGAUCAAAUGAUUACACAUGCUCCACAUUCCCAUUCAUAGACAGUUGAUGAUACAAAUGAUUACACAUGCCCACAUCCCAUUCAUAGACAGUUGAUGAUACAAAAUUACACAUGCUCCACAUUCCCAUUCAUAGACGUUGAUGAAUACAAAUGAUUACACAUGCUCACUCCAUUCAGACAGUUGAUGAACAAAUGAUUACACAUGCUCCACAUUCCAUCCAGACAGUUGAUGAUACAAAUGAUUACACAUGCUCCAACAUUCCCAUUCAGACAGUUGUAGAAUACAAAUGUUACACAUGCUCCACAUUCCCAUUCAUAGACAGUUGAUGAUACAAUGAUUACACAUGCUCACAUUCCCAUUCAACAGUUGAUAUACAUUAUUACACAUGCUCCACAUUCCCAUCAUGAGACAGUUGAUAGUACAAAUGAUUACACAUGCUCCACAUUCCAUUCAGACAGUUGUGAUACAAAGUAUACACAUGCUCCACAUCCCAUUCAUAACAGUUGAUGAUACAAAUGAUCAUACACAUGCUCCACAUUCCCAUUCAG